rnacentral:lncRNA from 1 species
UAGGAACCUCCCCUAAGAAAAGGGGCCUGGCCUGGAGGCAGAGGGCUUGAUUUCCAGUCACUGUACAACUCUGGGCAGGGCAGUCCAUCACCCCGAGAAGCACAUUUUACAGGAAACAGCCGUGGCCACGCAGCAGGCAGAACCUCACGCCACAGUUCAGAGAAAACCGCCCUCCACUCUGUACUGGAGCGAGACUCCCUGACACUUGUCCAUGGCCGAGUUUUAGAGUUGUCAGUUGCUGUUAAUGACAAUUUUGCCCCAUCUGUUCCAACACGAAAAUGAGGCUUCCUUGCCACAGACAAGAUAGAUCUCCAAGAGUUGAAGAAGGAGAAGUCUUAAAGGUAUUUCACUCAGCUUAGGCCCGUUUUGAUGAUUCACAUGCCUAACCAAGCCACCCACAAACGACUUCUGGUGGUUGCCGAGAAAGAGGACCCCAGAGACUUCUCAGCGUCUGCCAUUGCCCCCCCCCACCGGCAC